AUUGAACGCUGGCGGCAUGCCUUACACAUGCAAGUCGAACGGUAACAGGUCUUCGGAUGCUGACGAGUGGCGAACGGGUGAGUAAUACAUCGGAACGUGCCCGAGAGUGGGGGAUAACGAAGCGAAAGCUUUGCUAAUACCGCAUACGAUCUCAGGAUGAAAGCAGGGGGCCGCAACGCCUUGCGCUCACGGAGCGGCCGAUGGCAGAUUAGGUAGUGUGUGGGAUAAAAGCUUACCAAGCCGACGAUCUGUAGCCGGUCUGAGAGGACGACCAGCAAAACUGAGACUGAGAGACGGCCCAGACUCUUACUGGAGGGAGCAUUGGGGAAUUUGGGACAAUGUUGGCAAGCCUGAUGCAGCCUUGCCGCGUGAAGGAGGAAGGCCUUAGGGUUGUAAACUGCUUUUGUACGGAACGAAAAGACUCCUUCUAAUAAAGGGGGUCCAUGACGGUACCGUAAGAAUAAGCACCGGCUAACUACGUGCCAGCAGCCGCCGUAAAAC
rnacentral:rRNA from 1 species